AUCCCUGUAGCGCAAUGGAUAGCGCGCGCGCGUUGGACUUCUAAUCCAAAGGUUGUGGGUUCGAAAGCCCCCUGGGAUG